GCGCCUGUGGCGGAACUGGUAGACGCGCGAGGUUGAGGGCCUCGUGGGGCGAGAGCCCCGUGGGAGUUCGAAUCUCCCCGGGCGCA
rnacentral:tRNA from 1 species